UGGGGAAUAUUGGACAAUGGGCGAAAGCCUGAUCCAGCCAUGCCGCGUGUGUGAAGAAGGUCUUCGGAUUGUAAAGCACUUUAAGUUGGGAGGAAGGGCAGUAAGCGAAUACCUAGAGAUAGUGGACGUUACUCGCAGAAUAAGCACCGGCUAACUCUGUGCCAGCAGCCGCGGUAAUACAGAGGGUGCAAGCGUUAAUCGGAUUUACUGGGCGUAAAGCGCGCGUAGGCGGCUAAUUAAGUCAAAUGUGAAAUCCCCGAGCUUAACUUGGGAAUUGCAUUCGAUACUGGUUAGCUAGAGUGUGGGAGAGGAUGGUAGAAUUCCAGGUGUAGCGGUGAAAUGCGUAGAGAUCUGGGGGAAUACCGAUGGCGAAGGCAGCCAUCUGGCCUAACACUGACGCUGAGGUGCGAAAGCAUGGGGAGCAAACAGG
rnacentral:rRNA from 1 species